rnacentral:rRNA from 1 species
GCAGCAGGCGCGAAACCUUUACACUGCACGCCAGUGCGAUAAGGGGACUCCAAGUGCGAGGGCAUAUCGUCCUCGCUAUCCUGUACUGUAGGGUAGUACAGUAUCAAGAGCUGGGCAAGACCGGUGCCAGCCGCCGCGGUAAUACCGGCAGCUCGAGUGAUGGCCACUCUUAUUGGGCCUAAAGCGUCCGUAGCUGGCCGCGCAAGUCCGUCGGGAAAUCCAUCAGCCCAACUGAUGGGCGUCCGGCGGAAACUGCACGGCUUGGGACCGGAAGGCUCGAGAGGUACGUCCGGGGUAGGAGUGAAAUCCCGUAAUCCCGAACGGACCACCGAUGGCGAAAGCAUCUCGAGAAAACGGAUCCGACAGUGAGGGACGAAAGCUAGGGUCUCGAACCGGAUUAGAUACCCGGGUAGUCCUAGCCGUAAACGAUGUUCGCUAGGUGUGGCACUGGGUAGGA